ACCCGCUGAACUUAAGCAUAUCAAUAAGCGGAGGAAAAGAAACCAACAGGGAUUGCCUCAGUAACGGCGAGUGAAGCGGCAACAGCUCAAAUUUGAAAUCUGGGGCCUUCGGCUCCCGAGUUGUAAUUUGAAGAGGAUGUUUCGGUUGCGGUCACGGCCCAAGUUCCUUGGAACAGGACGUCAUGGAGGGUGAGAAUCCCGUACCUGGCUGCCGACUUGCUUCCAUGUGAAACUCCUUCGAAGAGUCGAGUUGUUUGGGAAUGCAGCUCAAAAUGGGUGGUAAAUUUCAUCUAAAGCUAAAUAUUGGCGGGAGACCGAUAGCGCACAAGUAGAGUGAUCGAAAGAUGAAAAGCACUUUGAAAAGAGAGUUAAACAGUACGUGAAAUUGUUGAAAGGGAAGCGCUUGCAAUCAGACUCGCUUUCGGUUGAUCAACGUUCCUUUUGGUUCGUGCACUCUGCCGUUUGCGGGCCAGCAUCAGCUGGGGCGGUGGGACAAAGACUUCAGGAAUGUGGCUCUCUUCGGGGAGUGUUAUAGCCUGUUGUGCAAUGCCACCAGUCCCGGCUGAGGUCCGCGGUUCGCUAGAUGUGGCUUAUGGUGUAAGCACCCGUCUUGAAACACGG
rnacentral:rRNA from 1 species